rnacentral:rRNA from 1 species
AUUGAACGCUGGCGGCAGGCCUAACACAUGCAAGUCGAACGAGUGGCGGACGGGUGAGUCAUGUCUGGGAAACUGCCUGAUGGAGGGGGAUAACUACUGUAAACGGUAGCUAAUACCGCAUACCAUCAGAUGUGCCCAGAUGGGAUUAGCUUGUUGGUGGGGUAACGGCUCACCAAGGCGACGAUCACUAGCUGGUUUGAGAGGAUGACAAGCAAAACUGGAAAUGAGACACGUGCCAGAACUUUACGGGAGGCAGCAGUGGGGAAUAUUGCAAAAUGUGCGAAAGCCUGAUGCAGCCAUGCGGUGUGUAUGAAGAAGGCCUGUGGGUUGUAAGGUACUUUCAGCGGGGAGGCGUUACCCGCAGAAGAGGCCCCGGCUAACUCCGGGCCAGCAGCCGCGGUAAUUC